rnacentral:rRNA from 1 species
AGUGAACGCUGGCGGCGUGCCUAAUACAUGCAAGUCGAACGGACAAGUAAGAGCUUGCUCUUAUGAGUUAGUGGCGCACGGGUGAGUAAUGUAUAGCUAAUCUGCCCUACACUAGAGGACAACAGUUGGAAACGACUGCUAAUACUCUAUACUCCUGUCUUACAUAAGUUAGAUAGGGAAAGUUUUUCGGUGUAGGAUGAGGCUAUAUUGUAUCAGCUAGUUGGUGAGGUAAUGGCUCACCAAGGCUAUGACGCAUAACUGGUCUGAGAGGAUGAUCAGUCACACUGGAACUGAGACACGGUCCAGACUCCUACGGGAGGCAGCAGUAGGGAAUAUUGCUCAAUGGGGGAAACCCUGAAGCAGCAACGCCGCGUGGAGGAUGACACUUUUCGGAGCGUAAACUCCUUUUGUUAGGGAAGAACAAUGACGGUACCUAACGAAUAAGCACCGGCUAACUCCGUGCCAGCAGCCGCGGUAAUACGGAGGGUGCAAGCGUUACUCGGAAUCACUGGGCGUAAAGGACGCGUAGGCGGAUUAUCAAGUCUCUUGUGAAAUCCUAUGGCUUAACCAUAGAACUGCUUGGGAAACUGAUAAUCUAGAGUGAGGGAGAGGCAGAUGGAAUUGGUGGUGUAGGGGUAAAAUCCGUAGAGAUCACCAGGAAUACCCAUUGCGAAGGCGAUCUGCUGGAACUCAACUGACGCUAUGCGUGAAAGCGUGGGGAGCAAACAGG